rnacentral:rRNA from 1 species
GUGGGGAAUAUUGCACAAUGGGCGCAAGCCUGAUGCAGCAACGCCGCGUGCGGGAAGAAGGCCUUAGGGUUGUAAACCGCUUUCAGCAGGGAAGAAAAUGACGGUACCUGCAGAAGAAGGUGCGGCCAACUACGUGCCAGCAGCCGCGGUGACACGUAGGCACCAAGCGUUGUCCGGAUUUAUUGGGCGUAAAGAGCUCGUAGGCGGUUCAGUAAGUCGGGUGUGAAAACUCUGGGCUCAACUCAGAGACGCCACCCGAUACUGCUGUGACUAGAGUACGGUAGGGGAGUGGGGAAUUCCUGGUGUAGCGGUGAAAUGCGCAGAUAUCAGGAGGAACACCAGUGGCGAAGGCGCCACUCUGGGCCGUAACUGACGCUGAGGAGCGAAAGCGUGGGGAGCAAACAGGAUUAGAAACCCUUGUAGUCC